AUUGAACGCUGGCGGCAUGCCUUACACAUGCAAGUCGAACGGUAACGCGGGGCAACCUGGCGACGAGUGGCGAACGGGUGAGUAAUAUAUCGGAACGUGCCCAGUAGUGGGGGAUAGCCCGGCGAAAGCCGGAUUAAUACCGCAUGAGACCUGAGGGUGAAAGCGGGGGAUCGCAAGACCUCGCGCUAUUGGAGCGGCCGAUAUCAGAUUAGGUAGUUGGUGGGGUAAAGGCCUACCAAGCCGACGAUCUGUAGCUGGUCUGAGAGGACGACCAGCCACACUGGGACUGAGACACGGCCCAGACUCCUACGGGAGGCAGCAGUGGGGAAUUUUGGGACAAUGGGCGUCAAGCCUGAUCCAGCCAUGCCGCGUG
rnacentral:rRNA from 1 species